AAUAAUAAAUUGACAGACUUUGUGUUGUUAUUUUCUUAAUGUUCUUAAUAGAUAGCCUAUCGAUUAGGGUUAUCGCCGCUUCAAUUGCUAAUUACUAUCGAGGCUGCAGUUUGCAGUCUAAUGAAGUAAGUAUCUAAAGGACUUCCAAGAUGUAUCUUCGCUGUGCUUUAAUUCUCUUAAUCUUAAGCGUUAACGUUCUAUGCUUUCCAAUUGAAGAUAAAUUCACUGAAGAAAUGCAACAAGCAUUAAAACCACUAAAUGUGGAUGCAAUCCUUGCAGCAGUAGAUAACCUGAUCAAAUCUAUGGAUAAGAACGUUACCACAACCAUUUCGGAUACACAUAUUGAAAUACUCGUAAAAAUCGGGGAAAGAAAAUCGAAUGUAUCGAGUCUGGAUGUAAAAAAUAAAAAUUAAUCCAUAUUCAAAGUCGAUAUGGAAUGAAAAAUAUAAGUACGUGUGAACAAUUUAAAUAAAGAAUAUACAGUUUA